rnacentral:lncRNA from 1 species
GGGGAUCUAUAAGCCACUUUGAUAAUUGUGAUCCAGAUAAAAUGAGUAUUAUAGAGCCUGAAGACAUGAUGGACUAGUUAGGGUAUAAAAAUUGUACCCAUUUCCACUACCUUAUAUCGGGGCACAGCUUUGAGAGUGGCUUGAAGGAGCUUAAAUAUGAUACAGAUAUUUUUGAGUAUACUGGAGGUAGUGAGAGGGAAUGAUGUAGUGCAAGUCUAUGUAGAGCACAAGAUGAAUGAAGUCUCUAAGUAAAUAUCUUAUGAUAUCAUUUGUCAUAUAUAUAUAUAUAUAUAUAUAUAUAU